UAUCAAUGAAGAAAAAACAUCUGUCUUAUUCCUUGUUUCGACUCCAGAGCCAGUAAUGGUGAACCCACUGGGGCUAGCUGGGAGAGAGGGUGAGAACUUGUUCCAGAAGGAACUGUCUGAGAUAC
ensembl:snoRNA SNORD22 Small nucleolar RNA SNORD22